rnacentral:rRNA from 1 species
CACGUAGGGGGCGAGCGUUGUCCGGAAUUACUGGGCGUAAAGGGCGCGUAGGCGGCCUAAUAAGUCAGAUGUGAAACCCCCGGGCUUAACCCAGGGCUUGCAUUUGAAACUGUUGGGCUUGAGGACAGGAGAGGAAAGCGGAAUUCCCAGUGUAGCGGUGAAAUGCGUAGAUAUUGGGAGGAACACCAGUGGCGAAGGCGGCUUUCUGGACUGAACCUGACGCUGAGGCGCGAAAGCCAGGGGAGCGAACGGG